rnacentral:rRNA from 1 species
UACGAAGGUCCCGAGCGUUGCUCGGAAUCACUGGGCGUAAAGGGAGCGUAGGCGGCGUGGUGAGUCAGAUGUGAAAUCCCGGGGCUCAACCCCGGAACUGCAUCCGAUACUGCCGUGCUAGAGUUUUGGAGAGGUAGCUGGAAUUUACGGUGUAGCAGUGAAAUGCGUGGAUAUCGUAAGGAACACUCGUGGCGAAAGCGAGCUACUGGACAACAACUGACGCUGAGGCUCGAAGGCCAGGGUAGCGAAAGGG